rnacentral:rRNA from 1 species
GACGAACGCUGGCGGCGUGCCUAACACAUGCAAGUCGAGCGAAGUUAUUCCUGGGGGGAUAACUUAGCGGCGGACGGGUGAGUAACACGUGGGUAACCUGCCUUAUAGAGGGGGAUAGCCUUCCGAAAGGAAGAUUAAUACCGCAUAACAUUGAGCUUUCGCAUGGAAGCUUAAUCAAAGGAGUAAUCCGCUAUAAGAUGGACCCGCGGCGCAUUAGCUAGUUGGUGAGGUAACGGCUCACCAAGGCGACGAUGCGUAGCCGACCUGAGAGGGUGAUCGGCCACAUUGGGACUGAGCCACGGCCCAGACUCCUACGGGAGGCAGCAGUGGGGAAUAUUGCACAAUGGGGGAAACCCUGAUGCAGCAACGCCGCGUGAGUGAUGAAGGCCUUCGGGUUGUAAAGCUCUGUCUUUGGGGACGAUAAUGACGGUACCCAAGGAGGAAGCCACGGCUAACUACGUGCCAGCCGCCGCCGUAAAAC